rnacentral:rRNA from 1 species
UACAGAGGGUGCAAACGUUGUUCGGAUUUACUGGGCGUAAAGCGCGUGUAGGCUGCUUCGCAAGUCGGAUGUGAAAGCCCCGGGCUCAACCUGGGAACUGCAUUUGAGACUGCUCUGCUCGGGUGCGGAAGAGGGAAGCGGAAUUUCCGGUGUAGCGGUGAAAUGCGUAGAUAUCGGAAGGAACACCAGUGGCGAAAGCGGCUUCCUGGUCCGACACCGACGUUCAGGCACGAAAGCGUGGGGAGCAAACAGG